CCUACGGGAGGCAGCAGUAGGGAAUAUUGCUCAAUGGGGGAAACUCUGAAGCAGCAACGCCGCGUGGAGGAUGAAGGUUUUCGGAUUGUAAACUCAUUUUGUUAGAGAAGAUAAUGACGGUAUCUAACGAAUAAGCACCGGCUAACUACGUGCCAGCAGCCGCGGUAAUACGGAGGGUGCAAGCGUUACUCGGAACCACUGGGCGUAAAGAGCGCGUAGGCGGGAUAGCAAGUCAGAUGUGAAAUCCUAUGGCUUAACCAUAGAACUGCAUUUGAAACUGUUAUUCUAGAGUAUGGGAGAGGUAGGUGGAAUUCUUGGUGUAGGGGUAAAAUCCGUAGAGAUCAAGAGGAAUACUCAUUGCGAAGGCGACCUGCUAGAACAUAACUGACGCUGAUGCGCGAAAGCGUGGGGAGCAAACAGGAUUAGAUACCCCGGUAGUC
rnacentral:rRNA from 1 species